ACGAGUGGCGAACGGGUGAGUAAAGCAUCGGAACGUGCCCUGGAAUGGGGGAUAACGUAGCGAAAGUUACGCUAAUACCGCAUAUUCUGUGAGCAGGAAAGCAGGGGAUCGCAAGACCUUGCGUUCUGGGAGCGGCCGAUGUCGGAUUAGCUAGUUGGUGGGGUAAAAGCCUACCAAGGCGACGAUCCGUAGCGGGUCUGAGAGGAUGAUCCGCCACACUGGGACUGAGACACGGCCCAGACUCCUACGGGAGGCAGCAGUGGGGAAUUUUGGACAAUGGGGGCAACCCUGAUCCAGCCAUUCCGCGUGAGUGAAGAAGGCCUUCGGGUUGUAAAGCUCUUUCAGCAGGAACGAAACGGUGGCCAUUAAUACUGGCUACUAAUGACGGUACCUGAAGAAGAAGCACCGGCUAACUACGUG
rnacentral:rRNA from 1 species